GACGGCCCCUUGCAAUACACAGAUGGUUCCAGCUAGAUCAGUGUCAAUGAAGAAAGGAAGCUUAGAAGUUGUAUUAUUAAAGCACAUUUGAAGAAGAACUCCUUCCAUUCAUCCAAAUCUGUAUAGAGACUGAAAGAAGUUUUGGAAGCGAUUUUUGCCAGAAUUGCUAAAAGCAUAAGGAAACUAUCAGAUGCAGUUUUCAGUAAUUUAAAUUUCUAAUAUUUGAUUUUUAAAUGAUGAAACAUCCAGUAACCCAAAUGACCUUGUACAAACAUGCGUGGAAUAAAUUAUUUCAAAU
rnacentral:lncRNA from 1 species